GGGAGGGGAAGUGGGGGGUUCUGUUGAGUAUUUAGUGCUUUUAAAAUCGGUUCCCUCUUGCGUGCCAACUUCCAGAGCAGCCGUCCUCCACACGCUGCUCUCCUGAGCCUCUGAUCAGCUGCUUUGCUAAUGUGGAGGUAAAAAGAAGUGUGGGGGUGCUCAGGACGGGGGGAGGGGCAGCCCGCGGGACUUCCUGUUUGUGUACGGACCUGCAGUGGGAUACUCUGGUGUAAUGGACACAGAGAUAACCUCACGGCAACAGGAAGAUUAAUCACCCAGUCCCCUGGUGAUGUGGCGGUAUAAUCAGGUGGGGAGGAGGCGAGGGAGGGAGGGAAAGGGGGAGAGAGCUGUGGGAUUUGUGCGUCUCUUAGCUGUGAAACAAUUAUGAUUGUUCUGGGAAGAUUGUCGUUGUUGGAGGAGAGCCUCCAAACACCACUGUUCCCUCGGUGCAGUGUACUGCAGCCCACUGCACACGUUGAUGGAACAUGGAUAUGUUGGGAUGCUGCCCAUAAGACCCUGGUGUUUGUCUGAAGUUCAGUGUGGAAGUAGGUGCCCCCUAUUUUUGGUGAAGUGGUAGAUACCAUGGUCAGUCGGACCACCUGUCACGGUUCAAAUCAUCAUUUCCACCAUCUGUGAUGAUGCACAGGCUGAACGAGGAAAAUCUGGAAAAAAAAAAAAACAAAUCUUCAUGACUGUACACUGCCCAGCCGAAAUCUGUGCCAACACACGAAUCCCACUUCACUGGGAAAAUAAAUAAAUAAAAAAAAAAAAGCAGUGCAGUGUUUGGUUUUUGAAGUGAUUAACACACUCCCUGUCAAGUGAUGCAGCAAGUAACUAUCUAUUCCCAUAACAACCAUGUACGAAAGCUUUUCAUGGUUUUGGAAAAAAGACUCUUGUUCUGUUAGUGGGUUUAAAGGAGGUCAACGCACUGACCUGCGUCCAGCAGAGUAAACAGCUGAAGAGGAAAUGAAACUUCUUAAAGAAAAAAGGACAUGGGAGGCUGUUGCCACUGAGACAGAGAUGGGGUUUUAAAAAAUGAACGAAAUGUGGCUCGCGGUCAAAUAAAGCUUCAACAAAACCAAUCAAGCAGAAAUCAACAGUAAAACUGGUGCAUUUUCACUGUUCAACCCCAGAGGUUCAGAAUAAAUAGCCGUUAAGUCGGCGGCUAAAAGUGCUUAUCACUAAAGCUGACGGGGAAAAAGGGAUAUUCACUUCAGAGAGAGUUUAGAGAUUUGAUUCUGCAGAAAUAGAAAAUAAUAUUUACACUGUUUACCAGCAAUAGUAGGAUCAGGACAGAGGAAUAGAGCUGUGUGAAUGGUUACCCAUACUGCCAUGGGCCUACUGCUAAAGCCUAAGGUGGAACUCUGAGCCACAUCUGAUCCAGACCAGGUUGGGAAACACUAUAAAUAUGAGGUCUGUUUCCUGUUCCUGCUGUGUGGGUUAAUCAUUGUGAUCACAAUCACCUGUGUCUCUGAUUAGUCUCACUGGUAUCACCUGGUACCCUGUGUAUAUAUACCUCUCCCUCACGCUGGCUUGGUGGGGUCAUUAUACUGUUCAGUUAGUUGGUUUCUGUGUGUGGUUGUAGUUCCUGCUUUGAGCUACUAGUUUGUACCUUGUAGUUCCUGCCUAGUCUAGUUUAUGCCUUGUUCCUGCAACCCAAUGAAUUUAGUUCCUGCCUGCUUCCUGCCCUGAUGACAUGUGACAGUAAAGCCUUAGUAAAGUUGCUGAUGAAAAGUUGCUUAGUAAAAGUCAGCAUGUUGGCCACAGGAUUUUGAACCUCAGUUUUGGACCUCAGUUCAGACCUCAUCUUACAGGAACUCUCAAAGCCCAAGAGGGUCAAAGAGAAUGCAUUAAUCAUGGACCUCAUUUGCAUAAAGGAACAACGUAGCUCACACCCCCACGCAUACAGAGAAACACAUGUUGGAAUAAGAUGGAGGAACUUACCAGAGUUCUUUGAGCCUCCGCUAAUCACUGAUUAAAGCGAUCAGAUGUCUGACUUGUAAAGCUGGGCCUUAAGGCGUUUCCUGUGAGUGAGUAACAGAGGAGACUGGGACGGUUUUAAGAAAAAAAAAGUCAUAUUUAAAUAAAACUGCAAAACCUGAGCAUUCAUCAUUAUUAACAUAAUUAUUUCACGCCGCAUGAUAAUUUUCUCUUUCACCACAGUCACUCACAUUAGGUUAUAAUAGCCAAUUAAAGCCAUUACUUUUUAAGUGAAUGAAAUGAAUCCGUCGGGACAGGGCAGCAGAUAACAGGAGAACGGAGUCGUCUUCACAUCCCUUUAAUUAACAUAUUGCCUUUUGAUUACAUCAUAACGUUGGUUCCUACUGUUCCUCAGGCACAGUGAGUCAAAUAUAGUUUCAUAUGUUAAAUCUUGGUAAUACACCUGAGCAAUUAGCCAAGAUGGUCUCAAGCUGAAGCCACCUAAUCCCUGCAGUUAAAUUAAGACAGAGGACAUUUUUGCAGAUUUUUUUUUUUUAUUUUCAGCCUUUAGGAAUGACAAGGACAAAUGUGUGUGUGUGUGUGUGUGAGUGUGAAGAAGAGAGUUUUUAAAUAUACAGUAUAUUAACCUUCAUGGUUAUAUGCAAUGAUCAAAAGGCUCUGGCUGGGAGGUUGAAUUUAAGGUUGGUGUGACCUUGAGUCACAUGGUACCAGUGUCACUAAAAUUCCUGAUGGUUCCAGAUUAUCCCAAAGCCGGCACCUGAAGUUGCAACCACUUAGAUUUUCAAUGACCCAUAACUGCUCCUUUUGGAUCACCUGUGAUCAGUGUUUCCCUGCAGUAGCCGCUGUAUUAACAUGUAAUAAUUCCCUUCCUUUGUUGUAAUGUUGAUGUGAUGCUUCAGUCCUCUAUUACCACGCCGGCUCACAAUUGCACUUCUAUAUGUGAGAGAUUCAGAGUAAAUGGUGCGUGGCGUGGUGAUUUUGAUACUCUGUGACAUCAUCACGACUGGUUGCUGUUCACUCGGCUGCAGAUAUAGGGUCGCUGCAAAUUUAACAUGUGUUGAUGGGAAAAAUGCUUGGUGGCUUUUAGAGCAAAAUGCAAAGGGUCUGUCACG